GAUGAAGAACGCAGCGAAAUGCGAUACUUGGUGUGAAUUGCAGAAUCCCGUGAACCAUCGAGUCUUUGAACGCAAGUUGCGCCCGAAGCCGUCAGGCCGAGGGCACGCCUGCCUGGGCGUCACACGCCGUUGCCCCCCCGCGCCCCGCACCCAACUCUUUGGGAGCGACCGCGGGGCGGGCUGAUGAUGGCCUCCCGUGCGCUCCGCCGCGCGGUUGGCCCAAAUACCGAGUCCCCGGCGACGUGCGCCACGACGAUCGGUGGUUGAGAGACCUCUGUCGCAAGUCGUGCGCGCCCGUCGCGUCACGCGGGCUCGCAUAGCGCCUCGCGCCGCACCCGGUGCGGAGCUUUCAACGCGACCCCAGGUCAGGCGGGGUUACCCGCUGAAUUUAAGCAUAUCAAUAACGGAGGA
rnacentral:misc_RNA from 1 species